GUAACGCCCGCAGAAAUCACUAACUAAAAUCACCCGUUAAAAACCGUCUUUAAAAUCUUUUACCGCUGAGCUCCCGGAAAUCGGAAACCUCCCCGGCGAUUUCGCCGUCCCGGUACCCAUGCCGACCCCCACCUAUCUUUUUUAUCUGUGCCCGCGAAUCUCGCCGCGUGCCGGUGUCGGACGCCGUGCGCGUGCUCCGACCGCGUGCCGCGAGUGCCGCCGGUC
rnacentral:lncRNA from 1 species